UUUUAUUUGAGAGUUUGAUCCUGGCUCAGGAUGAACGCUGGUGGCGUGCCUAACACAUGCAAGUUGAGCGAUUUACUUCGGUAAAGAGCGGCGGACGGGUGAGUAACGCGUGGGUAACCUACCCUGUACACACGGAUAACAUAC
rnacentral:rRNA from 1 species